rnacentral:tRNA from 1 species
GGGGGUGUAGCUCAGCUGGGAGAGCACCUGCUUUGCAAGCAGGGGGUCAGCGGUUCGAGCCCGCUCAUCUCCACCA